CCCGAACGGGCGGGGUGAAGGAGCACAAGACCGGGAUUCCAACGCAGGACUCCGAAGAGAUAAGAAUGAUUGGCAGAGACAUGGAAAAACACAUUUGUAUCAGAACUACUUGAAGAAAAAUGUGAAGCUCUGUGUAUGGAUUAUGUAUUUAAUAAAAACAAAUUGUGAUAACAUUCAUAAAGUGGAAUACUAUUGAGCACUAUUGAGCAAGUCAAAGGAAAGGACUGCUGAUACAACAUGGAUCAAUCUCAAAAACAUUGCAUUUGGUAAAAUAAGCUAGAACAGAGUACAUAGCAUAUAAAUCCAUUAAUAAAAAUUUAAGAAUAGGAAAAACUAAUCUAUGCUUAGUGUCUUCUUAUGGUGGCAGAGGCAGUAGGUUGGGAUUUUAGUGGAAAGGAUCAUGAGGGAACAUGAUAGGAUGGCAAAAAUGUUCUGUACUAAUCACAUGUAGCUAUUAAAAUCUAACAAAACUUAAAAUUCAGUUCCAUAGUCAACACUAGCUACAUUUUAAGUGUUCAAUAGCCACAUGUGGCUACUGCCUACUAAGUUAGACAGUGCAAAUACAGAACAUUUCUAUUAUCGCAGAAGUUCUACUAGAGUUCUAGUCUAGAUCUUGUUUUGGGCAGGUGUUUACAUUUUUCAGAAUUGGAAUUAAUGCAUAUUAUAUAUGUAUUAUAUGCCAGUAACACCUGCCCCCAAGCCCUAUAAAUAAUUAAUAGAAUUUUUAUUACUAUAUUAUCUACCUAAUUAGCCUAGUUUUUUCUUAAUACUUUUGUGCAACCCUGCAGAGAAAGGAUAAAUAGUAAAAUUCUUGGCAAAUUUUCAAAUAUGUAAGUGUGACAUACAGUAGAUAGCAUUGAUUUUCUGCUCAAAAAAAAUGGGUUCUGCUACUUUAUAAUUGUGAAUGCAUCUAGAAAGAAGGAAUUUUUUUUUGAGGGCUUAAAGUGAACUCUAGAUGACUACAGAGAAAUUUUUUCUUUUGGAAUCAAGUAUCUUAAACAUAGUAGAGAUCGUGUAACCUUCUAAGGUAACACGAGUGUUUGGGAGAUAUUGGUGCUAACUCUAUGACUAGGUUUAGAAAGUUAAAUCACCUCCCUAGGUAACACUUCAGACAAGCCUUUUGGAGGCAGAAGAAAACUAAGUUUUUAAGUCAAGGAUAAAAACACCUGAACUCAAUUCUAAAAUUCUGAUAUUAAUGGAUUUUAAGAGAUGGAAUACCAGGUGAAUUGAUUCAAAAUAUUAUAUAUGUUCCUAUAGUACUUCAGUGAAAUUAAGAAAAAUUUUUGGUAGAAUAAGUACUAUAAUAAUGUUAAUAAAUAUUUCUACUAGCAUUUUUUAAGACCUUUGUGAACCCCAAGUAGAUUUUUACAAGACAAUGAACUUGGACUGUUAAAGAUUAAUUCUUACAAAUGAGUCAUCAAUUCAUGUCAAUAAUAUAUGCUGAAAAGCAUUUUAUUCACUUAAUUAUUGUCAGUUAUAUAUCAAAAAUGAUUUUAUAUGAUCCAAAUUCUUUAACUGCCAAAUAUUGUUUUCUCUCCUCUCUCUCUUUCUCCCUCUCUUCACCCCUCCCCUCCCUCUCUCCCUUUCCCUUCCUCCCUUCCUCUACCUUUUUUUCCUUCUUCUAAUGUAAUAGGUAGUCUGGAGAAAACAUCUCCCAAGUUCCUGUUGGGCCAUUCAUCCUAUUGGAAGUAUACUAAUAGUAUCUUCUCAUUGGAACAUGUCAUAUAUCUCACCUGCCCCCCCCACACUAGCAUCACAAUAAGGAUAUAUAAAACCUUCAUUUAAAUUGUUUUGAAUGUAUAUAUCAAUUGUUACAGCAUAUGACCAAACUUUUUUUAUCCUUAAAAAUGUUUUUUUUUUUUAGCAAUAUGACAACCACUGGUGAAGAACAAUAAAGAUUACUAAUUGACAUUACA